AGUGAACGCUGGCGGUAGGCCUAACACAUGCCAGUCGAACGGCAGCACAGUAAGAGCUUGCUCUUACGGGUGGCGAGUGGCGGACGGGUGAGGAAUACAUCGGAAUCUACUUUUUCGUGGGGGAUAACGUAGGGAAACUUACGCUAAUACCGCAUACGACCUACGGGUGAAAGCAGGGGAUCUUCGGACCUUGCGCGAUUGAAUGAGCCGAUGUCGUAUUAGCUAGUUGGCGGGGUAAAGGCCCACCAAGGCGACGAUCCGUAGCUGGUCUGAGAGGAUGAUCAGCCACACUGGAACUGAGACACGGUCCAGACGCCUACGGGAGGCAGCAGUGGGGAAUAUUGGACAAUGGGCGCAAGCCUGAUCCAGCCAUACCGCGUGGGUGAAGAAGGCCUUCGGGUUGUAAAGCCCUUUUGUUGGGAAAGAAAAGCAGCAGGUUAAUACCCCGCUGUUCUGACGGUACCCAAAGAAUAAGCACCGGCUAACUUCGUG
rnacentral:rRNA from 1 species